rnacentral:lncRNA from 1 species
AAACUUCAACGGGUCAUAACUUCUUCGUUAUAACUCGGUUUUCGGCGUUCUUUAUAUGUACGAAAACCUUGUAACAUACUCUACAACUUGGUUAAGAUUAUUUAUUCUAAAUAAUCUUUUGUCGAAAAGUCGUUUUCGACCCCUAUUGCCUCUAAUUUGACUAGCCCAGAUUUGCGGGCGUUACAAUUAUCUCCCCCUUAGGAUGAUUACGUCCCGGAAUCAUCAACGAAACAGGGUCGUAUAAUGACUCCAUACGUCAUCUCUUCAUCCUAGGUAAUAAUUAUAACUUCUACAUUCCUUCGAUUCUAUCUCUUAAACUCAUUGACUGUAAGAGUACUCGAUCGUGCACCUGCUCUCUACCUCAGGUUAGACUCCAAAUUAUGACCUUCAAGUCACAAUCUCGAUCCUUGCUGGAUACGGACUUGAGAUAAGUUCUUUUAUUACUACUAUAGAUCGAUGUGUCAUAUUCUAAUGACCUAUCAUCGUAUGUUGCAACACUUAGACUUAGGUCUCUUAGAGUUAAAUUCUAAAACAGACUAUGCCUUCCUUCAUGUUCUAAUGUGAUAUAAUCACACUUUAACAUUAGGCAUUUCUAGCCACCAACUUCUUUAACAACGAGUGCGAUACUUCUAUUGAUCGCUUUGAUUUCAACCGUUUGGUUUAAGUCGGACGCUACAUCAAACUUGGUUCUCUGAACCACACAACAUACUCAUCGUAGUCGGACUCGAUUCGAUAUGACCACUAGGGUCGGAAUAUCAACAAUCUUCUUAGUCAUUACCGAAACGAUGGUAACAACACACUUGAAUAAAACGAAAUCAAUUACUAGCUUCUUGGUAACCUUGUGACUUUCCCUGAUCCAAGUGUGAGUCCUGUGCUUCCGGUAGUAUAGGCCUCUACUACCAUUCACACCUACUCAUACUCGUCCCAAGUAUUGUCUCGCAGUUUCCCAAGUCACCAUGCAGCAAAUCACACAAUCAUUCGACACAUCAGAUAACAAAACGAAGGUUUUAUAUUAAUUCUUGAAACGAUUACAUAGGUGUUCAAGUUCACCCUAGACUAUGCCUCUACUAGGCUACAUCAUACGAAACUAUGGCUACUGCAUAAUCCGAUCUUCGGGUAAGAAGUCCUCAUUCUUGAUUCCUCGCAUGGUUCUCUGCUUCGUCGAGGAUCAUGUGAAAUGCCCUUGGCCUUGGUGGCGUUUCUGGUCUUGCUGCUUUAUUUUUCCUUGGGCAGUCUCUGGACAUGUGCCCCUUGCCUCCACAUCCGUAGCAUACUUUGUCAUUAUGUGUGCAGUCUUUGGAAUAGUGACCCGUCCUCCCACACUUGUAACAAGUCACUUCUUCGUUGCACUUCCCACCAUGCUUCUUCUUGCAUUUAUCACACCAUCUUGUUUCACCUCCAUCUGCUCCUCCGAGUUUUGAGAAUUUGCUUUCCUUGUUCGACCUCGAAGAUCCCUCAAACUUUCGCUUCUCUCCUGCCUUAUCUUUUUCUAGACCCUUUUCUCUUAUCUGGGCCUCUACGUUCUUAGCUGCCCUAAUAGCUGCUUUUAAGGUAGUUGCCAUUUUGACCAUUGGACCAAAGUCAGUGGGCAGUCCGUUAGCAAACCUAUCAAUCUUGGAGAGUUCAGUAGGCACCAAGUAGGGAAAUAGCUUCAUCCUCUCGGUAAAUGCGGUGGCAUACUCAUCAACACUCAUCUUCCCUUUCUUCAGGUUCUGAAACUCGUUGUUUAGGUCUAUCAGAUCUACCUCCGAGCAGUACUGCAUUUUCAACUGUUCCAAAAACUCUUCCCACGACAUCCUUAAGGCUUCUCCUCGUGGCAUCGUAUCUGCCAAUAGCUUCCACCAGCUCAAGACUCCAGUUUUCAGCUGUCUUACUGCAAAGACAGUCUUCUGUUUCUCAUUACAGCUGCAGCUCUCAAACACCAUCUCCAUCUCAGAGAUCCAAUCCAUAACCUCAACCGGCUUUGGGCUUCCUGAGAGGCUUGGUGGUUUCGCACCCAAGAAGUUCUUGUACAUCCGCCCAUCCUUGUUGUUUCUCCCUUCUGGGCCAUCCCUUUGCUCACCUUGAGUCCCAACUUGACUCACUUGGCGGCUGUAGUUCCCUUCCUCAGAUUGCUCGGGAAUCAGUUCGGGUUGCUCAAUGGGCAUAGUAGGUUCGUCCCUAUUCAACAUCCGUCUCAUUUCUUCCCUUUGUUCAGCCAACAUAGCCCGAAUCAUGGCUUGAACUCCAGCCAUGGUGACUGGCUCAGGCGCAACUUCUUCUACAACAGGUAUUUGCUGAACCACUGGGGGUUGGUUCCUGUUCCCAUUUGCGUUUACGUUUCCGCUACGGGUCCUUACCAUCUCGAUCUAUACACCGAAUAAGGUGAAUUUAGACCUUUACUUGACGUUUAAAUCAUCCUUAUCACUCCGAAACAUUUACAUGCUAGUUCUAAUACCGUAGUCGUACGUUUAGAAUCCUAAACACAUAAGGUUUCCAGAUCCGGUCGGCAACAGACCAUAGAUCCGAACAAUUAACAACAUAUCAUGCACAAAGCAUUUAGCACAUAAAAGCAUUUUAGGCACAAUUCCUAAAAUAAGCUAGUGCUCACACCUCACAAUCAUCGCUUAGCAUUCUAAGUUUAAGUCUAGAAAUAAAUCCAUAUUCCUAGUUCGCUUAAACUAAUGCUCUGAUACCAACUGUGACAUCCCCAAAAUCACGGCCAGAAAAGACCGAUUUUGUUUAUGCUUUAUAAAAAUCAGAGUACUUCAUUUUAUAAAAAGGUUGCGGAAUUUGUUCCCAGAAAAACAUGGUAAAUACGUUAUUAAAACAUUUUCGAAGAAACGUAUUUAUUUCAUUUUAAAAUGUUUGGGAUGUCAUCGUUAAUACCGAAACAUAAGCAUAAACAGAAUUACAAUGAUUUACACUAGUGAUCUACAUCUCUUUUAAAUCUCUCAGUGUAAUGUCACUUCACUUCGUCACCUGUGAUAUACAUAAACUGAGUGGGUCAGGUUGGGAAACCUGGUGAGUACAUAGGGUUUUCAACCCACAAUAAUAUAAUUAUUAUGUUCAAUCAAACAAUCAACCCAAUUACCCAUCCCCAUUAUCUUCUUUACUCUUUAAGGAUUUAACCUAAGAGUCAUCUAUCCUGCAUUCGUUUAUUCCGAAGUCCCUUACUUCCAGGGUUAUGGGACUGGCACUAAAUCCAUAGCUGCCAAUGUUCGUUCAUAAAGCACUAAUUCCAUAGCUGCUAUAGUCUAUUCAUCGGGUACUAAAUCCAUAGCUACCAGUCUUUAUCUAAUAGGUACUAAGUCCAUAGCUACCAAUGUUCAACAGGUACUAAGUCCAUAGCUACCAAUUCCUACAGGUACUAAAUCCUUAGCUACCAGCGUCUAACUAAUAGGUACUAAGUCCAUAGCUACCAAUUCCCAACAGGUACUAAAUCCAUAGCUACCAACGUCUAAAAGGUACUAAGUCCAUAGCUACCGGUGUUUGUCCCAUAGGCACUAAGUCUAUAGCUGCCAAUGUAUACUCACGUCAUCUUCUAUCUCUCAUCAUUCAUCUACCCAUCUCAUACCCAACAUUUUCGUAUAUAUAAAAUACGUAUACAGUUUAAGUCCUUUAAAACAUGUAUAAAACGUUCAACCAGCAUAGACAGCAAGUAUUCAGAUAAUGUGCACACAUAGCACGUAGUUUAUAUAAAAUACUUCAUAUCUAUGUGUAAGAUGAAAGGGACUAUGCACUCACCUGAAAGGUGGUGAGUCGGCACUCGGACAGCACUUCGUUACUCUUAAAACAAUUAUCCCUUGACGAAACCUAGUAUCAUUACCACUAGAGUUUAGUCUAACGCUUGACGAGACUAAUUUAAUAGUCUAGCUAUUAUUACUAUUAUAUAAGCGUUAAAUAACACUCAAUAUAACUCAUAAUAAUAGCCUAAAUAAUUAUUUUAAGGUCCUAACAAUGUUACUAUAAUUAAAUAAAAUCUAUAUUAAAUAUACUAUAGGCGUAGCUCACUUACAGCGGGUUUUUAUUAAAAACCGGGCUUCGCUGGAGCAGCGUUUCCGAGCCGAAAGCUUUUCUUCUCGGAGCCGUCGGGCGCUCCGGGGCUUUCUUCUCGUGAUAGGGAGGUUCCCUAGACUUGGGAGGGGUUUAGGGAGGUUAGAGAGAAGUUAGAGAGAGAAAGAAAGGCUUAUGGUGUGAAGAAAAUAUGAGGAGUUCACCCUUGUAUUUAUAGGAAGUGUAUAGUAAAGUAGUCUCCAAGCUUCGUCCGUAACUUUUGCAUACGAGCUCCGUUUUUGUCUGUCUUUUUACUGUUGAGUUCCUAUUAAUGAGAUCUUCAACUUUCAUUUAGACCUCGUUGGCUAAUUCUCAUUCUAUCUCGGAUUUACAAAACUGUAUCAAAUUCGCCGCGCUCGAAAAGUAGGGACUAAGCUUCGUCCAUAACUUUCGCAUACGAGCUCCAUUUUUGUCUGUCUUUUUACCGUUGAGUUCCUAUUAAUGAGAUCUUCAACUCUCAUUUAGACCUCGUUGGCUAAUUCUCAUUCUAUCUCGUAUUUACAAAACUGUAUCGAAUUCGCCGCGCUCGAAAAGUAGGGACUAAGCUUCGUCCAUAACUUUUGCAUACGAGCUCUAUUAUCGACGUUCUUUAUAUCCACGCGUUGGUAUUUACGAGUACUACAACUUUCAUUUAGAUCCCGUCGGCUAAAAAUCGACCGAUCUAAAAUUCAGAUUUCGGGUUGUGCACUGCUAUGCUAAAUCUUAGAAAAAUCAUAACUUCCUCAUACGAAGUCAGAUUUGGGCGUUCUUUUUAUCGAUGUUCUUAUUUUAACGUAUUCUACGACUUUAGUUUAGAUCGCUAAGGCUAAAUCUCGCUCUAUCGUAAAUUCACUAUUUACGCUUCCUGGUAUCGUGCCGGUUCCGUCGCGAAACUUCAACGGGUCAUAACUUCUUCGUUAUAACUCGGUUUUCGGCGUUCUUUAUAUGUAAGAAAACCUUGUAAUAUACUCUACAACUUGGUUAAGAUUAUUUAUUCAAAAUAAUCUUUUGUCGAAAAGUCAUUUUCGACCCCUAUUGCCUCUAAUUUGACUAGCCUAGAUUUGCGGGCGUUACACGCGAUCCUCGGGU